rnacentral:rRNA from 1 species
AUCCAUGGCUCAGAUUGAACGCUGGCGGCAGGCCUAACACAUGCAAGUCGAGCGGCAGCACGGGUACUUGUACCUGGUGGCGAGCGGCGGACGGGUGAGUAAUGCCUAGGAAUCUGCCUAGUAGUGGGGGAUAACGUCCGGAAACGGGCGCUAAUACCGCAUACGUCCUACGGGAGAAAGUGGGGGAUCUUCGGACCUCACGCUAUUAGAUGAGCCUAGGUCGGAUUAGCUAGUUGGUGAGGUAAUGGCUCACCAAGGCGACGAUCCGUAACUGGUCUGAGAGGAUGAUCAGUCACACUGGAACUGAGACACGGUCCAGACUCCUACGGGAGGCAGCAGUGGGGAAUAUUGGACAAUGGGCGAAAGCCUGAUCCAGCCAUGCCGCGUGUGUGAAGAAGGUCUUCGGAUUGUAAAGCACUUUAAGUUGGGAGGAAGG